UGAAUCUGUCCUAUAAUAAACUAGGAGACUCAGUAAAGAAGCUGCUGUCUGAUCUUAAGGAUGAUGAACAUUACAAACUACAGACACUGAAGGUCUAAUGAAUAUCUGUGUGUGAUGAAGACUCCAGUGUUCCUGCGUUACCAUGAUGGAGAAUAGAGAACAUAUUUAUUAACACAUCACUCAUUUAGUUCUAACACAUUAAACACACACAGAGACGUGAGAAGUGUGUGUUCAUCGUGUACAGUGAAUCAGACUAAACACAAUUCUACACUGAGUUUAUAAUGACCUCUGAUCCCUGGAUAAAAUUCCCUGGACCUCAAUCCCAUAAAAACCUGAGGGAUUAUUUGUAACAGCAGGUGAAAACCCACAUGAACUCGAGCUGAACCCUGUUCAUUUUACUGUUUGUGUGAUUUAUUAUUUGUUUAUUACUGUGAUAUGAUUUACACUUUUUACACAUGUAUAAUUAUAGCUAUAUUACUGGGUACAUAAUUAAAAUUAUAUUGUAUAAAGGUACUUAAAAUGUCUUGUAGAAAUACAUCAUACAUUUAGAAGGAAUAAAAUACACAAAUACAGUGUCAUUAUUUUUGUUGUGUAAAAUUAAUAUUAUGUAUAGAUAAUUCUGUAGAAUAUUCUGUAGAAAAACUAUUUUUGUUCUUCAAAUAUAUAAUCUAUAUAAAUAAAGUUCUUCAAAAAUAAAUGUAUGUCUAACACAAUAUAUAGUUACAGAAUGUAUUUCUGAAGAGAAACAUGUUUGUAAUAAAAAUAAAUGACUAUAACAUGUAGGGUUAACAUUAUAACACAACGUUGCUGAGUUAAAACAACUCCCACUGGAUCAGUCCACAUUGUACCCAGUGCUGGAGUUCAGAAUCGACCCAAACUGGGUUCUGUUUAAUCUCAGACAUUUUAGACUGCACCUUUAUGAGGAGACUCACCUGGGAAUGAGUGAAGAUGAGCACAAACUCCUUCUUUCUGUUGUGUAUCAGUCUGUUUUUUACCUGCUUCCCUCUCAUCUGUUUUAGUCAGUAGUGGAAUUAUUAUUAAUAUAAUUAUUUUCAAUUAGUUUUCGGUGCAGCAGCUAACGAAUACUCAUAAUUUAACCAACAUUAAAAUGUUAUUACAUUUA